AGUUUGAUCCUGGCUCAGGAUGAACGCUGGCGGCAUGCCUAACACAUGCAAGUCGAACGGACCUUUAUUUUUGAGAGUUCCUUUAUAGAAAUUCUCAAAAUACUGGUUAGUGGCGGACGGGUGAGUAACACGUUGGUACCUACCCUCUAGUGGGGAAUAACUUCGAGAAAUCGAGGCUAAUACCGCAUGUGGUCUACGGAUCAAAGCAGUAAUGCGCUAGAGGAGGGGCCUGCGUCUGAUUAGCUUGUUGGUGAGGUAAAAGCUCACCAAGGCGACGAUCAGUAGCUGGAUCGAGAGGUUGACCAGCCACACUGGGACUGAGAUACGGCCCAGACUCCUACGGGAGGCAGCAGUGAGGAAUCUUCCACAAUGGACGAAAGUCUGAUGGAGCAAUGCCGCGUGCAGGAUGACGGCCUUCGGGUUGUAAACUGCUUUUAUAUGGGAAGAUUAUGACGGUACCAUAUGAAUAAGGACCGGCUAACUACGUG
rnacentral:rRNA from 1 species